UACAGAGGUCUCAAGCGUUGUUCGGAUUCAUUGGGCGUAAAGGGUGCGUAGGUGGCGAGGUAAGUCGGAUGUGAAAUCUCCAAGCUCAACUUGGAAACUGCAUUCGAUACUGCUUUGCUAGAGGAUUGUAGAGGGCAUUGGAAUUCACGGUGUAGCAGUGAAAUGCGUAGAUAUCGUGAGGAAGACCAGUGGCGGAAGGCGAAUGCCUGGGCAAUUCCUGACACUGAGGCACGAAGGCCAGGGGAGCAAACGGG
rnacentral:rRNA from 1 species